UGGGGAAUCUUGCGCAAUGGGCGCAAGCCUGAUCCAGCCAUGCCGCGUGAGUGAAGAAGGCCUUCGGGUUGUAAAGCUCUUUUUACCAGGGACGAUAAUGACGGUACCUGGAGAAUAAGCCCCGGCAAACUUCGUGCCAGCAGCCGCGGUAAUACGAAGGGGGCUAGCGUUGUUCGGAAUUACUGGGCGUAAAGCGCACGUAGGCGGAUUGUUAAGUCAGAGGUGAAAUCCCGGAGCUCAACUUCGGAACUGCCUUUGAUACUGGCAACCUCGAGUCCGGAAGAGGUUAGUGGAAUUCCCAGUGUAGAGGUGAAAUUCGUAGAUAUUGGGAAGAACACCAGUGGCGAAGGCGGCUAACUGGUCCGGUACUGACGCUGAGGUGCGAAAGCGUGGGGAGCAAACAGGAUUAGAUACCCCUGUAGUCCCUGAGCGGGCUGGCAAGGCGCAU
rnacentral:rRNA from 1 species